rnacentral:siRNA from 1 species
UCGAUGGUAGGAUAGUGGCCUAC